rnacentral:rRNA from 1 species
GACGAACGCUGGCGGCGUGCUUAACACAUGCAAGUCGAACGGAAAGGCCCUGCUUUUGUGGGGUGCUCGAGUGGCGAACGGGUGAGUAACACGUGAGUAACCUGCCCUUGACUUUGGGAUAACUUCAGGAAACUGGGGCUAAUACCGGAUAGGAGCUCCUGCUGCAUGGUGGGGGUUGGAAAGUUUCGGCGGUUGGGGUUGGACUCGCGGCUUAUCAGCUUGUUGGUGGGGUAGUGGCUUACCAAGGCUUUGACGGGUAGCCGGCCUGAGAGGGUGACCGGCCACAUUGGGCCGGAGAUACGGCCCAGACGCAUUCGGGAAGCAGGAGUGGGGAACAUUGCACACAGGGCGGAGGGAGGGAGCAGCAACGCCGCGUGCGGGAUGACGGCCUUCGGGUUGUAAACCGCUUUCGCCUGUGCCGAAGCGUGAGUGACGGAAAUGGAGAAAGAGGCACGGGCUAACUACGU